rnacentral:misc_RNA from 1 species
GCUCGCGAUCGGUUGCCUGUGCGGUUCUACCCUCUUGCGGGUAGCGAGUUCGUCCCUCGAUGGAUAUUUGCUUGCCUUUCCGACGCACUGUCGUCCGGGCGGCCGAAUUGUUGGCGAAAUCCCUGUGUCGGUGCGCGGUCGGACGCCGCGUUGCUAUCGCUUGGAUUUCUGCCGGCUCUCACGGAUGCGGUGCCUAUUGCCAGCUCUGCGGGGCUCUGCCCCGCAGACUUCGGGAGGUCCCUCGCGCGCAUCACUGCUCUCAUACGCCGUCUGUCGUGUUGCCGGUGGCGACGCGCAGAUCGUGUUCUGCCGUGCUGUAGUUAACGACGCGCCAGAACAAAGUGUCCGGAGCGUGCUCGCGCGCGUGCGGACUGCCUCUCGUUCGUAUGAGCAGCGAUUUCCGGU